CAGGCUUCUUCCCAAUUGCUUAAACUGGGAAAUAUACUGCGAUGAUCAUUCUUCACUUUCAUCUACAACAGCAGUUCAAAUAUGAAUUAUUUCAUAUAUACUUCACGAUGUUUGUUUUAAUUCACACAAUGUUGCUUUAAGUCAUUCAUUCCCGAAAAUAUGUUUUGCGGUUUCGAUGCUAGAAAAGACAAUUGACGAGACUGGCAAAUGUGUACUUCUCUCGUUCCAGCUGUUAUCAACGUCCACGAUAUUCACACAAACUAGAAUAAUUACAUACACGAUUUGUUUUCAUUCAUUCCAUCGUAAAUAAAAUAUUUCAUCCUUUCGGAACGAAAAAGCCCUUCAAAUUUGAGGCAACUUUUGUUUUGUGUGACUCUGGUGGAAAAAGGAAAUAUCAAGGCAUCAAAUAUCUCUUGUAAAUGUAAAAUCAUUGGCCUUAACAUCUACGAGAGAUGCUAUGUAAACACUGCAAUGGACAUCAUAAUUUUCAUUCAAUGGGCUACUUUUAUUGCUUGAACUGAAUGGAACUGAUCACCAUUUAAUAGCCUUUAACUUUUAUUCUUUGGUGGUUUACCUUCGAAAACAUAAGAAGGUUUUUUCCUCCUCGUGUAAUUUACAGACUUACAACUUUCCCCAGUUAGGUCUCAUAUCAGGCGCUGGGUUAAUUGAAAUCGUCUAGCUUUCAAUCUGUUGUUCAUUUUGUCAUGAUUUGCAUAAUUCCUGAAUUAGUACUUGUAUGUCAUUAUUUCCAUCUGAUACAGCGAAAUUUUUGCUGAGUAUGAAUGCCAUGAUAACUUGUGCAGUGUAAUGCCUUUCAAAUUAUUUAGUAUCAAAGUAAGUUACAGUGAUACUCAGGACACUCAACGGAAGACGUGAAAGAAGUGUACACUUUGAAAUAAUAUGCAUGUCACAACACUAGCUGUCACAUUUGGAUGAGCAAGUUCAAAGUUUCAGGCUAAUUGCAAUGGUUUGUCAUCUUGUCAACAUCAAGGCACCUUAUUUCGGUGGUAGCGGUACAAAGCAGUUUCUUUGAGCAGUAAAAUUUUCAACUGCACUUGUUUAUUUGCUGUGUUUUGAUUUGAAUUUUGAUUUACAAAUCAUGCAUUUGUUUUGAACUGAAGUCGUGCUUUGUUCGCCAUAACAAUACAUCACAAAAGGAAUAUUGGUUAUGAAUAACAAAGGCUAACACGUUGGCAAAAACAUGUGGCCCUAACUCUUUGGCAAAAAUAUGUGGGCCAUUUUUUCGUGUAAGGGGUUCAUUAAGAAUGCACGUUCAAUGUCUGUUUAGUUCUGAGCGGUACUGUAGGUUAUUUGAGGAAGAAUCAAAACACCCCUGACAGAUGACAAGAGUUUUUUGUGUUCGAUCAGCAGGCAAAAGAAAAUUUAGAAGUUAGAAGAAAUGAAGGAAAAGGAACGGAAACGGAAAGAUUUGUAUGUGUAGUUGGGCAGUAAGUUGACCUGUAAAUGUUUGGUUGAGAUAAAUUACAGCUAGGUUGUGGUUUACCUCUGUUGCGAGUAAAUUAUUGGAAGAGGUUUUACCCCACAGGAUCUAACUGACCUGUGAAAAAAAACCAAAGGGAAAGUCAUUGACAGUAACUCUAUAAAAUUCUAAGCAGUGAUUAAAGUGUUUAUCUCCAGAAGUACAUGCCAGGCCUCUAAUGUUAUCUGAGGUCAUGCUGGCUUGACAGUGUCAUAAAUCUGAACAUAGAGCCCCACCCAUGAAGUUAUCUGAGGUGGUGGCUAACACAACAUGGGAAUCACUUCAGACAGCUGGAGCUGCUGUUGUGUUCCUUUAGGUCUUAUAAGUAGUUUGACCUUUAAAUAUUGUGUUGUUUGGUUGAGGCAUGCCACUGUCAGCUUCAUGGUUUUGCUCUGUUCUGAGGUAUCGCAGGAGGUUUCACCCCACAGGUUCUAACUGACCUGUGAAAAAACUAAAACCAGAGGGUAAGUCAGUGAAAGGGGAGGUUUGUUGUACAUAGUUCUUACUAACAAUAAAAUGAUUGUUCAUCAUUUGGAGUACCAACCAGACCUGUGAAGUUAUCUGAAGUCAUGGUGGCUUGACAAUGCCAGAAAUUCAAAUGUCGAGCCCCACCCAUGAGGUCAUCUGAGGUGGUGGCUAACAGAACAUGGGAAUCACUUCAGGAAACUGAAGCUGACUGUUGUGUUCCUUUAGGUCUUAUAAGUACAUGUACUUUGACCUUUAAACAUUGUGUUGUUUGGUUUAGGCAUGCCAUUGUCAGCUUCACAGUUUUGCUCUGUUGCAAGUAAUCGCAGGAGGUUUCACCCGGCAGGUUCUAAAUGACCUGUGAAAAAACUUAAACCUGAUGAGAAGCCAGUGAAAGGUUCUAACUGACCUGUGAAAAAACUUAAACCAGAUGAGAAGCCAGUCAAAGCUUCAAGACCCAUUCACAUACCUGGCUUGACCUUAUCUUGGGCCAUUUCCAUAAGCUCCAUUUGGAAGAUAUGGGCUACACUAGUCGUAAUAUGGUCAGUUGAAAAGGACUAUGGAACCAGGCCACAUAAUUGUUGUGCAGUUGUGUUGGAUCAGUGGGUCUGUUUUAAGUGCCAAGUUUGCAGGAUUUACAGCUUCUCAUCAUGAUCUUCUUCAAACAACUUCGUCUGUAGUCUGUAGUCUUCUCGGGAAAGUGCCAUCUCACUUGAGAAUACCGUGGUUUCCAGGAAAAUUAGACAUUCUGAAGAAAAUGGUCAAUUGACUAGAAACAUGUCAGUGUUGAGGUUGCUGAAUUAAAGAUUUUAAAUCACUGAAAUUUGUUGUGUCUUUGCAUUAUCAGCUCAAUAAGAAGGGAAUUCGUUAUAAAAAACGAAUGCAUGCCACCCCUAUGACUCCCGAAAAGGUAAAACUUCAGGGAAAGAGUAAAACUGGAACAAUACAUUGCCAACAUAGCAAAUCGUAAUUCAGAAAUGAAGGGACGAGGAUAAAUUUAUAACUGAGAAAAUGACCCGAAUUGAUAAAAAAAAUCUCUUAGUUAUUGAGAUGUUGGAGUUAUCGAGGAGCGCUUUCCAUUCGACUAAAAAUUCCGAAAUUUUCGAUACGGAGUCAAAUGGUAUGGGAAUUUCCCGGGAAAAUGUCCAGAAAAUCGAGUAAUUUUGGAAUUUCCGAAAAGCGAACUAUUCAACCGAAAAUUCCGGGAUGAAAAUCAAAUGGAAAGGAAAUUUCCAGGAAAAAUGUUCGAAAAUUUGGGCAUACCUCAGAAGGUUGUCCUCUUUUUCGGAAAUCAGGUAAAUUGGCAAUUUUCUAUUCAGCGCUAGUUCUUUUGGCCGCGAUCACGUCAGCGUUUUGGACAUCUCACGCAAGGAUGACGGCGACGCGUAUUCGAAAAUGGAUUAAUACUUUACUUUAGAAUCUUGCCACUUGCCUGUCAAUAGAUGAUAGCGACAGCUAAAUUGUCAAGAAAGCGUUUAAUUCCAAUUAAAUAAAAUAUGCAUAGGUUGACCCUGAAAUGUACAAAGAUUUAUAACGCGUGCAAAGCCAUUGUGCCACUCAUUAAGCCCUCUAAACCAUUAAACCCGGAAAUUAACACCGGAAUAUUUGGUCGAAUGGAAAGCGCCCGAGGGUUCUUGUUUCCAAGGGUAAAAUAGCAAGAAAUGUCAGAAGCAAACGCAGGGAAAUCUGUUUUGGUUCGAGUUAGCGCUAGAUUCGAGUUACCGGGGCUAGGGUUAUUGGGUCUCAACUCUAAAUACCAUCCUAGUUUCAACGGGCAGGUUGCACACCUUGUGUGUAUUUUUACCAGGGAUGAAGAAAAUUUGGAUUGAAUUCUCUUUAACAAUUCAGUCAGAGUCCGUAUGUGUAAUGCGCAUGCGUAGCUGCAAAAGUAUGUGCCUUCAUUUACCAUAAAGAUUGAAAAUUCUUUAAGUGAUUUUAUUAACUGCGCUUGCGUAUUUGUGAAAGUAUCUUCCAGCAUCUACCAUAUGGAUAGAAAGCUCUAGUAGAUAAGGAAGUAAUUGAAACCUUUUGGGUGGGUGUUGAAAUUCAGCCCAAAAUAACGAUGUGCUCUCUCUUGCAUAAAAGUUUCCAGAAAAUCCGGAAAUGGUUGAAUUUCCGAAAAUCAAACCAUUCAACCCAGAAUUCAGGAAGAUCUUGGAGAAAAAGCGAAAUACUUUUUAUAGAAAAAGAAAUACAAAAGUCAAGUAAAGAAAAGAAAAGAAAAAGUCAAAUACCGGAAAAUACUGUUCAAUUCGUCACUUGAAACCGGAGAAUGUCGUCGAUGUAAUGCACCCAAAGAAACAGUGUUAUUGAUUCUGUAUUUAAAUUGCGCAUGCGCUUUUGGCAAACGUGAACCACAAAGACAAGACACUUUAUUACUAUAUAGGAAAUUGCUCUCCCUGGGCGUGGUGGUGGGGGUAGCGUUACAUUACAUUGUACAAUCAUACAUUGUACAUUAUCUUUUACUCUAUACACUACCAAAAAAAUUCUCUUUUUGGACAAAAAAAUACCCUUUUUUGGACAGUUUAACCUUGUCCAUCCCAAACCCCCUCCACCACCCUAACAUUUCAAUUUACUGUCUAUUCUCACUAGUUCAUCAUCCUUGUGGGACAUCUACGUUUAAUAGUACGCAUGCGCGUUGUUGCUUUUCCACAUUAAAGACCCCUGGUUUUCGGCUCUACCUUGAAAGGAAAAAGUUCAAUCCUUGAAAAAGUAAAAAAUCUGGGGUAGAUCCUCCACCAUCCCCCUCCAACACCCCCCAGAAGAAAUCAAUUACUUCUAUACCAAGAAGAGUUUUCUACCCAAGUGGUAGAUGGCCAAAGAUCCUUUCACAAUACGCUUGCGCAGUAAGUGAAAAGACUAUAACAAAUGCCUUUUAGACUUGUCCAUCCUUAUGGUAGAUAACGGAAGGUAUCCUUUAACAGACACGCAUGCGCAAUAGACUUAUGGAGCUGAAAAGUCCCAAUAGACUUUUCUAUCUUUGUGGUAGAUGGCAAUGGAUCCUCUUCCAGAUACGCAUGCGGAUAAGACAUAAGAAAGCUGCAGUGUUUUUCGAGCAAAUUGGUAGUGGUAGAUGGUGGAACACGAUGUCUAAAGGUAUAUUUUGUAACGUUUCGCUAAUUACACUGGAGUAUGUUCACUGUGUAUGAUUCGUGUUAACUGCAGAAGUAUUUUAGGCGUGAAUCCCUAAGGGGCUAGUAGGCUAUUUAAGAAUUUGUAAGUUAUGCAAGAGCCACUCGAAGGCAUC